rnacentral:rRNA from 1 species
UACAGAGGUCUCAAGCGUUGUUCGGAUUCAUUGGGCGUAAAGGGUGUGUAGGUGGCGCGCUAAGUCGGGUGUGAAAUUUCGGAGCUUAACUCCGAAACUGCAUUCGAUACUGGCGUGCUUGAGGACUGGAGAGGAGACUGGAAUUCAUGGUGUAGCAGUGAAAUGCGUAGAGAUCGGUAGGAACACCAGUGGCGAAGGCGGUCUCCUGGAGCACACUUGACGCUGAGGCGCGAAAGCUGGGGGAGCGAACGGG